rnacentral:rRNA from 1 species
GACGAACGCUGGCGGCGUGCUUAACACAUGCAAGUCGAACGGGAUCCAUCCCAGCUUGCUGGGAGAAGAUCUAGUGGCGAACGGGUGCGUAACACGUGGGCAACCUACCUCGGAGAUCGGGAUAACAGCUGGAAACGGCUGCUAAUACCGGAUAACCCUCUCGGAUCGCAUGGUCCGAGAGGCAAAUGGUCCGCCGCUCCGGGAUGGGCCCCCGGCCUAUCAGCUUGUUGGUGAGGUAACAGCUCACCAAGGCGACGACGGGUAGCCGACCUGAGAGGGUGAUCGGCCACACUGGGACUGAGACACGGCCCAGACUCCUACGGGAGGCAGCAGUGGGGAAUUUUGGGCAAUGGGCGAAAGCCUGACGCAGCAACGCCGCGUGGAGGAUGAAGGUCUUCGGAUUGUAAACUCCUGUCGGGAGGGACGAAGCGAAAGUGACGGUACCUCCAAAGGAAGCCCCGGCUAACUACGUGCCAGCAGCCGCAGUAA